UUUGGGGUAGCCUGGACAGAGGAAUUCCAAGCUCACAUGGUCCAAAGAACAUCUGUGCUUCUUCCUGACCUCUAUCCUCACAAGGCUGGGUAGGCCAUGGGUUGGGACUACACACUAACUCUCCUCUUCCUUCCUGCUAUUUUCCGGCAUGGAACUCUGAACCUCAGUCUGAGAAAUCUAAAUUCAGACCUAAUCAUUGAGGUUGUUACAAAGAUGCCAAGUUUCCCAUCAUCGUACGCUGACUCUGACGCACUGACUCACGCCUUGUUCUUCAGUUCUCACGUCUGUGAAAUGGAAGGGUUCUGAUUGUGACUCCUU
rnacentral:lncRNA from 1 species